rnacentral:rRNA from 1 species
AGUGAACGCUGGCGGUAGGCCUAACACAUGCAAGUCGAACGGCAGCACAGUAAGAGCUUGCUCUUACGGGUGGCGAGUGGCGGACGGGUGAUGAAUACAUCGGAAUCUAUUUUUUCGUGGGGGAUAACGUAGGGAAACUUACGCUAAUACCGCAUACGACCUACGGGUGAAAGCAUGGGAUCUUCGGACCUUGCGCGAUUGUAUGAGCCGAUGUCGGAUUAGCUAGUUGGCGGGGUAAAGGCCCACCAAGGCGACGAUCCGUAGCUGGUCUGAGAGGAUGAUCAGCCACAAUGGAACUGAGACACGGUCCAGACUCCUACGGGAGGCAGCAGUGGGGAAUAUUGGACAAUGGGCGAAAGCCUGAUCCAGCCAUACCGCGUGGGUGAAGAAGGCCUUCGGGUUGUAAAGCACUUUUGUUGGGAAAGAAAAGCAGCAAGUUAAUACCCCGCUGUUCUGACGGUACCAAAAGAAUAAGCACCGGCUAACUUCGUG